UAAGUACCCCGAGGAAAAGAAAUCAACCGAGAUUCCCCCAGUAGCGGCGAGCGAACGGGGACUAGCCCUUAAGUUGAUUUGAGAAUAGUGGAAGGCUCUGGAAAGUGCCGCCGUAGUGGGUGAUAGCCCCGUACACGAAAUUCUCUUAUCAAUGAAAUCGAGUAGGACGGAGCACGAGAAACUUUGUCUGAAUAUGGGGGGACCAUCCUCCAAGGCUAAAUACUCCUGACUGACCGAUAGUGAACCAGUACCGUGAGGGAAAGGCGAAAAGAACCCCGGCGAGGGGAGUGAAAAAGAACCUGAAACCGUGUACGUACAAGCAGUGGGAGCCUCUUUAUGGGGUGACUGCGUACCUUUUGUAUAAUGGGUCAGCGACUUAUAUUCUGUAGCAAGGUUAACCGUAUAGGGGAGCCGCAGGGAAACCGAGUCUUAACUGGGCGUUAAGUUGCAGGGUAUAGACCCGAAACCCGGUGAUCUAGCCAUGGGCAGGUUGAAGGUUGGGUAACACUAACUGGAGGACCGAACCGACUAAUGUUGAAAAAUUAGCGGAUGACUUGUGGCUGGGGGUGAAAGGCCAAUCAAACCGGGAGAUAGCUGGUUCUCCCCGAAAGCUAUUUAGGUAGCGCCUCGUGAAUUCAUCUUCGGGGGUAGAGCACUGUUUCGGCUAGGGGGUCAUCCCGACUUACCAACCCGAUGCAAACUACGAAUACCGAAGAAUGUUAUCACGGGAGACACACGGCGGGUGCUAACGUCCGUCGUGAAGAGGGUAACAACCCAGACCCACAGCUAAGGUCCCAAAUUUUGUGCUAAGUGGAAAACCAUGUGGAAAGGCACAGACAGCCAGGAUGUUGGCUUAGAAGCAGCCAUCAUUUAAAGAAAGCGUAAUAGCUCACUGGUCGAGUCGGCCUGCGCGGAAGAUGUAACGGGGCUAAACCAUGCACCGAAGCUGCGGCAGCGACACUAUGUGUUGUUGGGUAGGGGAGCGUUCUGUAAGCCUGCGAAGGUGACCUGUGAGGGUUGCUGGAGGUAUCAGAAGUGCGAAUGCUGACAUAAGUAACGAUAAAGCGGGUGAAAAGCCCGCUCGCCGGAAGACCAAGGGUUCCUGUCCAACGUUAAUCGGGGCAGGGUGAGUCGACCCCUAAGGCGAGGCCGAAAGGCGUAGUCGAUGGGAAACAGGUUAAUAUUCCUGUACUUGGUGUUACUGCGAAGGGG
rnacentral:rRNA from 1 species